rnacentral:rRNA from 1 species
AGAAUGUGGGAGAGGUAGAUGGAAUUUCUGGUGUAGGGGUAAAAUCCGUAGAGAUCAGAAGGAAUACCGAUUGCGAAGGCGAUCUACUGGAACAUUAUUGACGCUGAGAUGCGAAAGCGUGGGGAGCAAACAGGAUUAGAUACCCUGGUAGUCCACGCCCUAAACGAUGUACACUAGUUGUUGUGAGACUUGAUCUUGCAGUAAUGCAGUUAACACAUUAAGUGUACCGCCUGGGGAGUACGGUCGCAAGAUUAAAACUCAAAGGAAUAGACGGGGACCCGCACAAGCGGUGGAGCAUGUGGUUUAAUUCGACGAUACACGAAGAACCUUACCUGGACUUGACAUAGUAAGAACUUUCUAGAGAUAGAUUGGUGUCUGCUUGCAGAAACUUAUAUACAGGUGCUGCACGGCUGUCGUCAGCUCGUGUCGUGAGAUGUUGGGUUAAGUCCCGCAACGAGCGCAACCCUCGUGUUUAGUUGCUAACAGUUCGGCUGAGAACUCUAAACAGACUGCCUACGCAAGUAGGAGGAAGGUGAGGACGACGUCAAGUCAUCAUGGCCCUUACGUCCAGGGCUACACACGUGCUACAAUGGGAUAUACAAAGAGCGGCAAUACGGUGACGUGGAGCAAAUCUUAUAAAAUAUCUCCCAGUUCGGAUUGUAGUCUGCAACUCGACUACAUGAAGUUGGAAUCGCUAGUAAUCGUAGAUCAGCUAUGCUACGGUGAAUACGUUCCCGGGUCUUGUACUCACCGCCCGUCACACCAUGGGAGUCGAACUCAUUCGAAGCGGGGAUGCUAAAAUAGCUACCUUCCACAGUGGAUUUGGCGACUGGGGUGAAGUCGUAACAAGGUAACCGUAGGAGAACCUGCGGUUG